UUAAGCAUAUCAAUAAGCGGAGGAAAAGAAACUAACAAGGAUUCCCCUAGUAGCGGCGAGCGAAGCGGGAAAAGCUCAAAUUUGUAAUCUGGCGUCUACGACGUCCGAGUUGUAAUCUCGAGAAGUGUUUUCCGUGAUAGACCGCAUACAAGUCUCUUGGAACAGAGCGUCAUAGUGGUGAGAACCCAGUACACGAUGCGGAUGCCUAUUACUUUGUGAUACACUUUCGAAGAGUCGAGUUGUUUGGGAAUGCAGCUCAAAUUGGGUGGUAAAUUCCAUCUAAAGCUAAAUAUUGGCGAGAGACCGAUAGCGAACAAGUACCGUGAGGGAAAGAUGAAAAGCACUUUGGAAAGAGAGUUAACAGUACGUGAAAUUGUUGGAAGGGAAACACAUGCAGCCAGACUUGCUAUUCGGGGCAACUCGAUUGGCAGGCCCGCAUCAGUUUUUCGGGGCGGAAAAGCAUAGAGAGAAGGUAGCAAUUUCGGUUGUGUUAUAGCUCUUUAUUGGAUUCGCCCUGGGGGACUGAGGAACGCAGCGUGCUUUUAGCAUAAGCUUCGGCUUAUCCACGCUUAGGAUGCGGGUGUAAUGGCUGUAUAUGACCCGUCUUGAAACACGGACCAAGGAGUCUAACAUGCUUGCGAGUAUUUGGGUGUCAAACCCGGAUGCGCAAUGAAAGUGAAUGGAGGUGGGAAGCGCAAGCUGCACCAUCGACCGAUCUGGAUCUUUUGAGAUGGAUUUGAGUAAGAGCAAGUAUGUUGGGACCCGAAAGAUGGUGAACUAUGCCUGAAUAGGGCGAAGCCAGAGGAAACUCUGGUGGAGGCUCGUAGCGGUUCUGACGUGCAAAUCGAUCGUCAAAUUUGGGUAUAGGGGCGAAAGACUAAUCGAACCAUCUAGUAGCUGGUUCCUGCCGAA
rnacentral:rRNA from 1 species